GUGGGUAUAGGUCAGUGGUAGAGUGUGUGCUUAGCAUGCACAAGGUCCUGGGUUCAAUCCCCAGUACCUCCA
rnacentral:tRNA from 1 species